rnacentral:rRNA from 2 species
UGGGGAAUAUUGCACAAUGGGCGAAAGCCUGAUGCAGCGACGCCGCGUGAGGGAUGACGGCCUUCGGGUUGUAAACCUCUUUCAGCAGGGACGAAGCGCAAGUGACGGUACCUGCAGAAGAAGCACCGGCUAACUACGUGCCAGCAGCCGCGGUAAUACGUAGGGUGCAAGCGUUGUCCGGAAUUACUGGGCGUAAAGAGUUCGUAGGCGGUUUGUCGCGUCGUUUGUGAAAACCAGCAGCUCAACUGCUGGCUUGCAGGCGAUACGGGCAGACUUGAGUACUGCAGGGGAGACUGGAAUUCCUGGUGUAGCGGUGAAAUGCGAAGAUAUCAGGAGGAACACCGGUGGCGAAGGCGGGUCUCUGGGCAGUAACUGACGCUGAGGAACGAAAGCGUGGGUAGCGAACAGG